rnacentral:misc_RNA from 1 species
GUGAAUCAUCAAAUUUUUGAACGCAAAUUGCACUCUCUUCUAUUCCGGAGAGUAUUCCUGUUUGAGGUUCAGUUUAAAUUAAAAUCGGUGUGUUUGCUGCCUUUCGUGGUGACGCACCGGAUGUGGGCCGUCUUUCCUUCCGUUAAGUGACCUAAAAGUCUGCAUGUUUUUUUCGAACGUAUGUAAAUGAUUUUACGUACUUGUGCGGUAUCGAAUACUAGGUGCGGGCAUGCUCAUUAUUCUCUCCGACAGUUUCUC